GGAGUCGAGAACGUAUCGUUACCGUUAGUGGUCAAUUUUCUCGAAUCUUUAUUAACUUUGUUUCUACACGCUGGUUCUAUCAAAUAAAUUCAUAAUGGGAAGCAGUGGUCAAUUGUAUAGUCUCUCUUGGGGAGAAUUUAGUUCAUCAUUAGCUUCUGCAGUGCAAUUAUUGAGAGGUCAUGGAGAUCUUGUUGAUGUUACUUUGGCUGCUGGUGGACGUAGUUUUCCUGCCCAUAAGAUAGUUCUUUGUGCAGCUAGUCCUUUCCUAUUGGAUUUAUUAAAGAGCACACCGUGUCAACAUCCAGUGGUUAUGUUAGCUGGGAUAGCAGCAGAUGAUUUAGAAUCAUUAUUAGAGUUUGUAUACCGUGGUGAAGUGAGCGUGGAACCAUCUCAGUUACCCUCGUUGCUUCAAGCUGCUCAUUGUCUUUGCAUUCAUGGAUUAACACCACCUACUAUAUUAACUGAAAAUGGGGAAGAGGUACCUAUAUCAGCAAUACCAACAGCAAAUGAAGCUUUAUCCAAAGAAACAGUUAGUCCCUAUUUUCCAUUAAAACGAAAGAGGAAAAGAAGAAAGUCAUCCUCCUCUUCUGGGAAAUGGCCACGUACUUCUAAUACCACCGAUAAUGAAAAUAGAUCUGUAGAUGGAACUGAUAACAGAUCAGCAGGAUAUGAUCAGAAAGAUGAAGACAAUACAGAGCAUGGUGACGAUACAGGAGACGGUCUGUCGAAAUCACGAAGCAUGUCCGAUCAACCAGCCUCUUGUCCAUUGUGCGGCGCGAUUUUGCGUCAAUCACGAAAUUUGAGGAGACACUUAGAGCUUCUCCACUUUGGACUCGGUAGCAAUAAUAAAUCCACCGUGGACACGGGAUACCGACGAACAAAUAAAAAUAACGAUCUCGUUCGAUCAACCUUCGCAUCUAUUUGUCAACCUCACGUGACGAGGACGGAUCGAUCAAAGCCUGCCGAGAGUGCAGACAUUUCCACGUUAACGUCCUCGUUCAUUGCCUCGUCCAACGCAUCGAAUGUCAGUCUUACAGGAAAUCUGAUGGGACCAGGUUCGAGUAUCCUGGGAACUGGUGAUCAAAUUCCGAAUUCAGCCUUGGUUGCUGCAACUUCUUGCACUGCUUCCAUGGCGUCUGUCACUAAUGGAGUUUAUUCAUCCGAUGAUCAAAUAAGCGACGUGUGCAAGAAGAAUUUCAUGCGUGAUCUCUAUAGAAAGAUAGAUGGGGCUGUUCUCAUAUCGCAACACGAGAAAGACCUCGACUGUACCAUCACAUUUCAAACCCAUAGCAUUCUUCAACGAUUUAUGCUACGUUUUGAUCAACUACAGUUGGACUGCAACGAUCAUUUAUACAUCUACGAUGGUGCUCAUGCGGUCAGCAGUUACAAGGCAGACCUGUCCUGCAGGAACACGAAGCAAAGCGUGGGUGCGAUUUAUACGCGCACCAACUUCGUGACAUUGAAAUACGUCACUGACUCCUGGGGCACCAUCACGAACGGCUUCCGCCUCGUUAUCACAGCCGUCAAGGAUCCUAAGCACGCCUGCAAGGACUUCCGGUGCACUCAGAACGAAUUUUGCAUCGAGACGGACCUCCUUUGUGACGGUGUGAAUCACUGCGGCGAUGGCUCCGAUGAGGCUACCUCCAUCUGUGCCAACUCCGAGACAUCAACAAUUUUGGGCAUGCAGAAGAUCUGGUUCGCAGUCGCCCUCGUUUUUCUGAUACUGAGUGUGGCAGGUCUGGUCACUGCGGCCGUUCUCUGUUUCUGCAGGCAACGGGCCACAACCCCAAGGCACCCCCAUAACGCGCACAACGCCCAGUCUCAUCCUCCAGUCAGCUUCCCAUUGCAACAGAUGUACGGAUCGAACGGAGCGAGCGCAGGCCUGCCAGUGGGCAUGACCACGUUGAAGGGCACCACGGGCACGCUGGGACCCCUGGCGAAUUACGGCUCGGCCCUAGGACCGGGGGUAACGGGUGCCACGACCCUCCCGCGGCCGGGAAACUGGCUGCACCCUGCGGGCCUCAGGCACGGGCACAGCGCGGCCCGGGUCCGCCUCUACUGCCAGGCAAAGUGAGGAGUCACGGUUCCGAUAGCGACAUCUCCUCCAGCCAAAAAGACGAAUGGUUUGUGUAGAGGCAGGCCUGGACCAGAGCCCGCAGGGUGAAUCGGUGCGGUGGUGCCCUCACCGCCCUCUCGGGUACGUGACGACGCCAUGCGACGUCUCGUUCCUAUUCACAUUGGUCGCGUGUUACCUGUGAACAUCUUUGUGCGCGGCCCUCAACUCCCCAGCCACCCUUUCAGCUCCACGAGACGGCCAUUAUCAGGCGAGGAAGGAAAGUUAAGGUGCUGCACGAGAAGACGAAGAAACGGCUUAAAUGUCGUUCCUUCGACCCAGCCCUUCGACGAGUCCAAGGUCCGUAACGAUUGGAUCGGUUGCGAGUUCGUCGAAUUUCGUUAUCUUUGCCACGUCUGUCCCUCGAAUCAUCGAGGUAGACGAAAGGGGUUGAAGCGCGGCUAACGUUUACACGCGAUAAUUGAACUAAAUUUUAGUUUACGAACGUUCGUUCGUAAGUGUGUGGGAUAGAAAAGUGGUAUUUGUGUUUCGAAUGUAUGCACGGUUGAGAGACAGGGAAAGGGGAAAGGAGUCUCUGAGAUUCGCUCUCAAGAUGUGGCCUACUUUAAUAAUGGAUGAAGGACACGGAAAUGGUAAGAGAAAUUUAUAUAAACUUGAAUUCUAUUUGAUUUUGGUCGUUUUACGGCGACAAAAAUCAUCCAUUUUCUUACUAGAGUAGUUGAUUCAAUUCUCUUAACCAUUUCAAGACACAUAUUUACUAUAAAAAUUUGAAAAACCAUCAUGGAAAUACUCGCAAUGUUUUAGAGAAAAGUAUGCAAAAUAAUUUGUUUUAUUUCUGAUGUAACAUCUUUUUUAAAUUGUAAUUAUAGAAAAUACAGGGUCAUUCAAGAGAAAGGAUCAAUCUGCUGAGAAUUAUUGAAAAACAAAAAUGAUUGCAUUUCAUAGUAAAAUUCAAUGUAUCAAUGUUUACAGGAACUUUUCUCGUCGUAUUUGUACCCUUCAUAAACUAUUCAAGUGGGUCACACAUGUUAUGAAACACCUUGUAUGUAAUUCUAGUCACUUGAAGUGUGUUCUUAUGGUAGGAACAAACCGUGAAACUGCCUGUUGCUUGCCAGAAAUUUAAUUAAAAUUUCUGGUCGGAUGUUUCAUUUAAAUAUCGAAAUCUAGAGCAAGGCUGUUCGCGAAAGCCUCUAAGGAAUUUUCUCAAUACUAAACUCUUUCUUAUCCAUACAAGAAUUCACAAAUAAAAAUUAAGUCUGCAUUUAUUAGUAAACUGAAAAUGUUUAUAUUAGUAUUAUAGAAAUCGACCAAAGGAUGUCAGGGAGCCUCUUCUCGUGAAACAGAAUUGUUUUAGAGUCUGAAAUCCUUAUUUCACCACAAAGUGUUUUAUUACAAAGAAAUCUGAUAUACUGCCUUUAGUGUUGGAGAUUUUAAAGAAAAACGCACAGACAUUAUUUGUCAAAUAAUGCCAGAAUUGUUCAUUGCCAAUGAUGAAAAAAUUACAGAGGUAUCGCAACAAUUAAGCUCAAUUUAAAAAAAUUAGAUGAUAAAGCAUCUGAAUUUUUAUUAAAAUAAAUAAUUCCAAAGAAAGAGAUAAGUCAUAUCGAUGAUAUUAAUGAAACGUUUCACGGUGAAAUCAUUACCAUGGGAUACGUGUAUGAAUGCGGGUGCAGUAUGCGCGUGUGAGUGUCGCAUGAAGGAAAAAAUCGCAAGCAAGGUGGCCGUUAAUCGAUUAACUAUGACGGGAAAGGAGAGAUGAUAAAAUUUUGCACGCUGGCGUUUCACUCCAGCCGCGAAAAGAAACCGAUGAUCGUGAGAAGAUCAUCGAAUCGCUUCAUAGAAGAUUUAUUAUUGUGCUCGUAUGAACACAACGAUCAUUAGCGUUUUUUGCUCGUUGAUUAGUUGGUUUCUACUAGUUCCUACUAACUGGUAUUUUAACUGGUCCGGGAAAUGAACGAAUAAAUGAAUCAAGACAGUUCUAUAAAUGAGGUGAAAAUUAUUGAUGAUUUUUAGUAUUGCUUGGACGUUUGAUAAAAUUAGAUAAAACUCCAUUUAAUUGAAUAAAAUUAUGACAUUAUAUUUUCGUUCUUAUGCAGAAGUUUCCAUCGUUUCUAAGACAGUUUUUCUUUGCUUGUGUUUUAUAGGAAAUACAAUAUCUAUUAAUUAAAGUAUUUUGUCAAUGUCAAAGAAUCGACAAUAAUAUCAAUUGUUCAAUAACUAUUUUGCACUGAUUAGAUAAAAAGAAAAGAGAUAUGAUAGAAGACAUGAAAUGAAGUAUAUUUUAUCUUAUCAAUUUUAUUGAUUGUAAAUGUGUCAAAACUGCAAUAAAAGAGAGAUUGUAUUUCAUAGAAUUUUAAUCAGUAAAUUCAAGAUCGAUAUUUUAGAAGUACCAUAAGUACUUAAAUAUUUCGGUCUAAUUACUGUUUGAAUAAAUCUGAAUUAAUUAACAAAGUAAGUCAUUUCACUUUUAUGAACGAUAAAAACUUUUGCACAUUUCUGAUAUUUUAAACUGCAAUAUAAAAAAUUAGAAUAUCAGAACAAUUAUCCAAAUCAUUUCAUCUCUAAUUAAUGUUUAAGUAAAUGGAGUUUUACUAUAUCAUUAUUUUAUCUUAUCGUAAUCACUGGAAAUGAAUCAUGAUUUGUAUUACUAAUAUGCGAUCGCAUUGAUGCGUCAGAUAAAUUAAUUUGUACAAUUAACGUCGACAUUUAAAAGGAAAUUCACUUAAUAUUAUCGCUUUAGACUGAAUAGCGAAUUUCUGCACGUGAAUGUUUCGAAAUGACAAUCGUUAUAGGAUGUAUUUAGCGAAAAUGAGGAGACAGAAACUUUUAAAUCAUCGGUACAUCAAAAUAGGCUGAAAGUAAAAGAAAAAAAAGAGAGAAUGAAGUACUGAAGACACAACCAUCGACUGAAUUUUAUACUAUACAGUUUCUUUUUCUAAUUCAAAAGUUUAGCAAUUUUUGGUAAACGAUUUUUGACGUUUUCGUUCAUUGCACAAAUGUAAAUUAAUCGCACAACACUUUUUAUACAAGUUUUUAGGUUCCAAGGAACGUUAGUUAUCCUUUGGAAAAUGGUUUCAUAAGUCUACCACGACGGAUAUAAUUGCGACAAUUCAAUUAACAAGACUUUUAUAUAUAAGACACUUCAGCUCUCGUCGAAUUAACGUGUAUUUUCAUAAAAAUAACUUCUUCACUCCUUAAUACUGCCAGGAUUAAUAUGAUUAAUUAGAAAGGAGAUGAGCUCUUCAGGUAAAGUAGUAUAAAAUAAAUGAAUAAAAUUAAUUUAUUUAAAUCAUGUUCAAAAUAAAAAGUUUUAUCAUUCAGAGAUAUACAAUAAUUUAAAUUGCAAAUUAAGAUAAAUGGAAAUGUGGAAUGAUGAAUUUUAAUUAUAUUUAAAAAAAUUAAUUAAUAUGGUCAUUGAUGGAUGAUGGGAUCAAAGUUAUAUUAAUUUACCAUUUUAAUUUGUGAUUUGAUUAUUCUCUGAAUCUUUGAAUGAUAACAACUUUUAGUAAUUGACUUUAUUGCUACUUUGUUUGAAUUUGUUGCAAAAAAUGGAAAUCAACAAAGUUGACUUAUUUCUUAUAAUAUUUUAAUACUUUUAAUAUUACAUUCAUUUCUAUUUUAAUAAAAAAAAAUUAACUUUGCUACUACUUUGCUUGAAGAAGCCACCUUCUCUCUGAUUUAUAGAAUGUAGUUCCGUUUAUCAAACUUUUUGGACGAUUUUUACACCACGACGAGACCCAUUCACUGCCUUUCACGGGGACAAUAAAUGAACAUUCGUCGUAAGGACGUAUUAGAAUCGAUGAACUCAACGUAUCUUCUUUGCCGUUUACUGAUUUUCUAUUUCUUUUAUUCAAUACACAACGCAAUGGAGUAAAAUGCGAGCGUGCUCUUGUAACGUGUAACAUAUUUGUAUCUAAUUAGCCGUUCAGCUUUGUGCCGUCUCCAUAGAUUACAGAUAUAAAAAUGCAUAUAUAUAGUUAUUAGAAAUUUUAGGGUGAACAGGAUAGAGCGAAUGUAAUAAAGUGAAAAUGUGUGAACACACGUUAAUGAUAGAAGAAGAAUAAGAAAGAGUUUUUAUCUAUCGUCUUUAACAUGAACUAUUCAUAUCACGAGAAACGAAUAAAUGAAUUGGAUUAAUCAAUACGAUUGACAGGUUGUAUUUGAUGAGAUUAAGACCAUGAAUUGGAACUUGAAGAAGGAUGACACCUCGUCGGUUCUGUCUGAAAAAUAAAAAAAUUCUCGGUAAUUAAUCGAGUUGAUGUUAUAUGAAAAGAGUAUAUUAGAAUUUGAUUGAUGAAAUUGUUCAAAAUAAUUUUUUUUUCAUUGGUGGCUAUGGUUGCCAGUUAAAUAAAAUCAGGAAAAGGAAAAAUAACUUGAAAAAUUCAGUCCUUUGGUAAAAACUACAAUUUAGAUAUGGGUAAUUUCGCUAUUAAAAUUCGUUAUCCGAUGUAGAGAUUAUUAAUGACUAAAGCUUUUAAUUAAAUUAAACCAUUAUAGUAAUAAUCUACUAUAGUAAAUUAAAAUUUUAAAAUUGUAUAUUUUUAAUAAUUUAAGACCUUACAUUUGUUAUUGGAAAUUAAUACUAUAUUCAUUGAUUUUUAUAUAAUAUGUAUAUUUUAAUUUUUCAUUAAUUCUGAAAUAGACGCGUAAAUGAUUUCAUGUAGAUGAAAGCUUCAUAGCCAUAAUUCUGGGUGGGAUCCUUCAGAUAUUCUUCCACAAAACGGAGAAUCUAAACUUCUUCAAGGAACAAUUUUGUUAAAAGAGCUUCAAACUACGAUUUACCAGGUCCGACGUAGCCUCUUAAGCUUCAAAAGCAUUACUCAAGAUCCAAUCAAUUUAACUCGAGACAUAAUCUUGAUAGACAGCGCCGACGAACCAGAGACUACAAGAUGAGUACCAUUUCUCGUUGCCAGGCUAACCCUUUCGGUCCUAAUCUUAGUCAUUUUUUUUACUCGUUUAUAACACUUUGAUCGCCACGUUAAAUUUACGAAAAAUCGUUCCAGAUAAUAAUUCUUCUCUUUAUGACAUCUUUUGAUAAGAAUUAUUAAAUAAACGAACUUCCAAAAUUUACUACUACUAUAUAUUCAUAAUUUGAAUUUGAAUAUUUGACAAAAUUUAAUGCAGUAUUAUUAUAUAGUAAUGAAUUACUGUUUAUCUUUAAUUACAAUUCGCAGUAUAAAAUUCUUCCCUUUAUUAAAUUACUUGACAUAAUUAAUCUUAAUUACAUUUUGGAAUUGACUUGUACGUUUUACUCGAAUAAUUUAUGCUUCGGAUACUGUAAUUAGAUGAAAUUCAUUUCAUCUAUCAUUAAGAUAUUUUAUGAUACUUGCAAUUUAUAAUUUUUUAUAAAAUGAAUGAUAGAUUCUUAACAUGGUAAUCAAAGUGUUCAGAAGUCACUAAAGAGAAAGUAACAAGAAAUAAAAGAGAAGGUAUGUAAUCAGGAGAGAAACGAGAGAAUGGAAAGUGGAAUGUAUGAUCGGAUUAAAAAUGACGAAUAGAUGAGUUUCGCAGUCGUUUGCGGUCCCAAGACCGUGAUUAGGCUAAGCGAGUAGGUAAGAAGUUCCGAUUAGUUGGAUUCGGACACACGGAAGCUAGCUAAAACUGCCAUGGAGGAAAUGACGUAGAGAAAUGGAUAUAAGUGAUAUUAGAGAAAAAAUUGGUCAUUUCCCUGAUCAUUUUUACUCUUUUAAUAACUUAAUUAAUAAUACUUUGACGGCCUGUAAUUUUUUAUAUUAUUAUUCUCAACUUUGUCUAUCUUUAUUGUGGUAAUUGAAAAGUGGUAAUAAUACUGACGUAAGAAAUAUAUAUUAUUAAUUAGUAGUUUAAUUUUUGAUAACUUACAAUGCAGUGAAUAUCUAUAAUUCUUUAAUAAACAAAUUGGAAUGAUUACUCUGAUUGCAUUCCAGUUAUUUGAAUAACUAUAAUAACUAUUAAAAAUAAUCAGGGAAGUGGUUUAGUUGCAUGUAUAAAGAGGUCAUUUUCGGUGCGUACUUUAUAACAAGAAUGAUUCAAAAUAUUUUCUUGACUUUUUCUCUUAAGAAAUGAAACGAAUUGUGUCAUUGGACGAUAUUCGAUUCAUAGUGUAAUUAACGAAAGGAGUAGUAAUUUUCAAAUUGAACGUUCUUGAUUGAGUUUCAAUCAUUUGGAUCAUUUCAGGGAAAUCUCAGAUACGUGUAUUCACAGCAAAUUGUCUUUUUAUUAGAAAACAGAAGAAAACGCAGCUUUUCAUGAAUGUCAUGUUGUAAAAUACUUCCGUAUUCUUAUCUUGAUUGCUGCAACUUCUUAUUAUUUCAUCAUUUUCCAGGGAAAUUAUUUUCCUCUUAUCUACCGAUAAAAAAAGAAACAAUUGUGAAUGACGUUUGCUGUGUAUGAUAUUAUGGGACAUCAAAGGGUCAUUAAGGCGCUACAACUCUUACAAGGGUGUUUUAAAAUGAUAUUAUCUGACAUGCAAAGAAUUAUUAAAUUCAAAGUACACUGGAAUUAGAGCACGAUUUAUUGAAUCUUUCUAGUAAUAAGUGUACAAUAAUUCACUAAAUAAUAAAAAUAAAAAUUUUGUCCAGUAAAUUCAAAUCAAUGGAUUCCAACCAAAGAUGACUGGAAAUUUCAAUAAAUCAUGGAAAAUAAUGGAAAUUUCCAAAAAUUAUUCACUAUUAUUGCUUAUGUGAUUGUUCUAUUAAAAAUUGCUGUGAAUACAAUAUUUGAGAAUUUUUGAAAUAAUCAUGUGAAUGAAUUCGAUUUAGAUUAAUCAUUGCUUUAGAAUUGCUACGACUAUUCAUCCGGGGUCUAAUUAGAACAAUGAAAGCUUUCAAUUUCUAAUUUGAAAAUGAUUGAACUAUUUCCACUCGUAAUUUAACCAGACACCCGGAUAAAACCGUAGAAAAUUCUUACGAUUCUCUAACAAAUAUUAGUAAAAUUUCUUAACUAUCAAAAAUAAAAGAAGCGUUAAACGUCUUUAGAAUAAAUUGGUUGCCGCUAAUUUAGAUAACUUAUUAUCGUGUAAUAAUCAAAAUUCCCUGAAACCCUUCAAAGAGAAGGAAAAAGGCAACCACAAAAGCAAAGGGGAAGUCGAUCAUUGUCAACGACACUUGUUAGAGUAAAUUGCUGGUAAAAAUCAGCAAUCCUCUCAUUUAUUGAAUAAAAAUGUAGAAAAAUGUAGUCAUAAAGAAAUCUAGAACUAAACGAUGCAAAGUUCAGGCCAGAAAGUACGCGACACUUGAAAAAUGAAUCUUUAAUUGCAAAUUUAAAAAUGAUUAUAUCAGGUAUAAUUAAUCAAUUUAAAUUUUGCACUAUCAAUGACAAUAUAUAAAGAUGUUAAAUAUUUUCUUUUUAAUCCUUGUGUAAGCAAUCAGGUGUCCAUUUCACAAUUUUCUAUCUUUUCGUGGACAAAAAGACCCCAAAUUUUUGUUUUAAAAAAAUUUAAGUAAAAAUUAAAAUUUUCAAGCUUGAGUGUAUAUCUGGUUGCCUGCACAAGGGUUAUAAUAACUUAUCGAUAAAACAGAAUUCUGUAAGAUUCGAAACCUAAUCGUAGUAUCUUUUAUCACUUCCGUCAUGUAACGAAUGCAACAAAUGAUUUUACAAGUAAAAUUUGUGAAUCAAUAAGACAAAGAAUGUGAGAUUAAAAAAGAAUGAGUGGUGUCCGAUGCUAAUUGGUAAAGAUGGUCACUGCGAACUUUGCUUUGUGCAUAUCGAUUGUUGGUAAGGUAGAAAAUGAAUCUUUUGAGAACAGGUCCAACAUACUGAAUUAUUCCAGAAAUAUUCUACGCUAUUGCUUAUUUUAAACGAAACAAAAGCGCUUAAUACAAACACUGUCGAGAAUGCUGCACCCGGCUAUCAUUAAAUAACGUUCAAAUUAAUAUUUAACAAUAAACGUUUCGAAAUAUUUCUUCAGGAUUGACAGAUCGUUUAAAAUCUUUUCGAAACGCUGUAUAUGUGCGGUGAAUGUUUGCGAAAUUUUUGGAGAAUGUUAAGCCUAAACGGAUGUAUUAACAUGGUAUUAACUCUUAUAAUUAAUAUCAAUGAAGAUCCACGUUUUGUGGGUCCUUAAUAGUUCGUGCAAUUAGUUAUCUUUCUAUGAUAAAACACUUCGUAUCCCCUUUCGUGGUUUCUCAUUAAAAAAAAAAUGGCGGUUGCUCGCCAUCUUGUUCUCCAGAAAGAUCCUUCAAUGGAAUCGUGGAAUUAAUCGAAUUAUUGUUAAUUAAGAGACACGUAUGCGUGAUUUAAACGAACGAUGUUAGUCAAAGUGGAGUUAAGGGAGUAUUUUCACCAGUCGGGGUGAAAUAAUUUAUUUAAGAAGAAAAAACAAGCGGACAAUAAUAAUCCAUCAUUGCUGAGUCGAAGCUUUGUCGUUUCAUGAUUGUUAUUCCACUAGAAUCAUGAUUAUGGAAAUACUCCCAUUGGUAGAAUCAUCACUCGUACCAAUUAAUUAUCGAAAAUUUAUUUUUCAAUGAAAAAAUGUAAGAUCAGAGGUUUACUAAAUUAUAGGUGAAUGUUUUUUUUUUUUUUUGCAGAAUUUCUAACUUUAGAGAUUCUGCAUUUGAAGGUAACAUCAUUCGUGUACCAUUGUACCUAGUCUCAUAGCAUCGUCAUUAUCAUUGUCACGAAAGACCAUCAUUCUGCAGAUUUACUCGUGUAAACUGGUUGUUCCAUAUUUAAGACUAAACGAACGCGAGACCUUUUCAGAUAUUGAACAAAUUUUUUCUGUAACUUGCAAACAAUUUCGUUUGAAGAGAAAAGUAGAUGCUCGCGUUCAAACACGUCUAAAUGAUAAGUAACGGGGGAAACAAUACAAUAAUUUUUCAUACUGUUUUUACUUUUUGACUACUAUGAUUACGUGCGACUGUAUAAUAUUAUUCUUGUCAUGUAACUGGUGGUACAAGCGAAAAAAUUCAGAUUUUAUGUGAAAUAAAAAGCAACUACGGCGAAAAUGUAAAAUGUAAUUUGCACUUUGAAGCUCGCUGUAAAUUAAAAAGAAGCUAUGUUUGAACAAAUUUUAUUCUACAUUUUCGUCUUACUUUUUCAUCUAUUUAGAAUCUUCAUUUUUUCACUUGUAUACGGACGCUCUGAGACAACCUCCAUAUUACGCUCUAACGUAACUAGUUUGUAUCUAUAACCGUUGCAGAGGAUUCGUUCCACUACGAUAUUUAAUUAUUCUACGUGAAAGAUAGGAAAUUUUUUGUCCGUGCGUAUGUGUGAGUGUGUAUAUGAGGCGUGCUUUGGUUUUUGGGAGCCGGUGUAAAGUUGAAACAACAAGAACAAGAAACGAUACACCUCUGAUGGUAGUCUGUGUAUUGUUUGCAGAGAAUUUCAAAUGAAUGAUUCGAAAUAAUAUAAAAUGAAACGUGUAUAAUGGGUAUAGAAAAUGAUUCGUACAGUAAUGAGUUUAAAAUAAUAUUAGGUUAAUUAAUUUUACCAAGAAUUUAAUUAACUAAGUGCUUAGAAGAUGAAAAUUCUGCAAAUCAACUUUCAGUGAAUUAAUAAGAUUUGAGAUUUUAUUAUGUAUAUUAUUUAAUCCUUUGCAUUUUAGCGUGGGAAUUUUUUAUGGAAAAAAAUUGUCACAGUUUUUAAUUUUUCAAAGCUUGAAGGGGUACUUAAAAUAAAAUAUUGAUUCAUUUUUUCGUUAAUUACCCAUACUUAAAUUCCGAGGAUCAGAUAUAUUCCAAAUCUUAUUAAACAUAUUUCUUAUAAAUUUCAUGAAGAUCUCCAAAAAUAUGUAGAAAUCUGUUGAUCUUCAAAAAUUAGUUAGCGUACGAAUAUGUUCUAUACCCACUGUAUAUUACUUCCCGAUGAUGUGAAAAAUGACAACACAUUUUAGACUCGGUGUAAAAGAAAACUUCCUCUUUUGCCCUUUUAGAAUCAUACUUUGUUCCAAAAUAUUCGAUGAAAACAGAGGUCACCUGUAUCGCUAUCAAUGUGAACGAAUUUCAAUGAUUAUAAUUAUACCUAACUUAUUAAUGAUUCUAAAAUCUACAUAUCUCUCUCAACUUUCAGCGUACAUAUCAAAAAGAAAGACAUUUCAUCAAACGUAUCGCGUUCGUACAAACUAGAAAUAACCAAUAGGAAUCUCUGAAAAUAGAGUGAUCAGGCGACAUUUUAACACGUUGAUCGCCAUAGGGGUCAUUGAUGAUUGGUACUAUAAAUCUAGCUAAACACAUUGAAAUAUGCAUACGAAGGCACCUAUCAUUUGGAUCUAUGUUUCCUCUCAUAGAGGAUAGAUCUAUGGCCUUCGCACCGAGUAGACCAAUUAUCCAAGCGUUUGUUUACCUUGUAUGAUAUUGUCAGGAGUGAUACAAUUUUUGUUAGGAGAGCAAAUCCUUAAUUGAAAAUUCAAACUAUAUUGUACUUAUUCUACGCAUGACCUUUUUGACUAUGGCAAUCAACUGUUAAUUAAGCAUCGAACCUAAUGGCGCCCUUAUAAACCGACGAGACAGAACGGAAACAAAACAAAUGACUCGAGUGUUGUACGUAAUUUUCAAAAUACGUGCGUGUUGCGAACAAUAUCGAAACGCCAUAUCAAUAUUUACAUGUCACGUGUAACAAUGAUCAUUGACAGACCAGUUAACUGCGACAAGAGUGAUGCGACACUCGCAUUUUCGUAUUAUUUUCAUGUCAUUUGAUAAUUAUGUAUGUAUCUUUCGACGAUUGAGAGGGAAUUCUGUCUAAGCAAUAGAUUCUCUGAAGUGUGCAUCUCGGUGUAACGUUAUUGUAAGAAGGGAAGAUAUGGAAACUAGAGGUGGACGCAUCGUACGGUUGAAACUUUGAAACGCGAAGCAAUAGAUGGCUCCUUGAUACGCGUGAUUAUGGUCCGUAAUUGGGGUCGAAACGAUUCGUCGAUAGUAAUAAUAAUUAUUGUAUAACGAUAGUAGUAACUACGUGUGUCAGAUCGAUCACGCGAUCGAGCAGCCGAGACGAUUAUGAAGCGAAACUGGAAACUUUGAACCGCUUGGUAAUUUCAGUGCUAAAAAAAUGAAUGAAAAUGAGAAAGAACAUUAAUUAUACCCAUAAAUAUCCUAUAUACCUAAAACAAAAAAAAAAAACGAUAACCAAAGCAUUGUAACCUUCUAGAGGCAAAAAAAAAAGAAAUAGAGGAGUACCUAAUCUUGUAUGGUUUAGUUCGACCACUGAUUUGUCCAUGUGUGUUCGUUAUUGAAAUAUGUUUCUUUAGUAAAAAAAUGCUUAAAAAUCUGAAA